CAACUACAAUUGCUUUUCCAUUAUAUUCUAUCUUAUUUUAUUAGAAUAAUUAGUCAAUCCAAACUCCAAUUGGUGGUAAAUGUUUUCCAUUAUAACUCAAUCACAUUUUAUUACUAUAAAUACUAUACAAGGGUCUCAUAUUUCACCACACCAAAAAAUUUACACACACGUGAGAGAGAGAGAGAGAGAGAGAGAGAGAGAGAGAGAGGAUAUUUUUGGGAGUAAGAAGACAAGAAGCCAAUUUGCAACCAUUAUUCACUAAAGCAGAGAAAAGAUUUUUGGCACAUGCUUUCAUAUUUUCAUUUUAUUAAACGAGGUAAGAUACUUUUGUGCAAGUAUUUUUUAUGCUCUUAUAUUCAAUUAAGCCCCGUUUGAUUCCCAUUUUUGGGAUAAAAUGAAUUAUGGAAUAGUAGUUUUUUAAAGAAUGUGUGGUUAAAAAGUAAGGAAUUUUUUUUGAAAUUCGUGUAUAAUUAUUUUAUAUAAGAAUGUGUGGUUGAAAAUGAGUUUUAAAAAAAUGCAUUCUUGAAAAAAUGGGGAUCAAACAAGGGCUAAAUAUGCAUGGAUUGCCAGUGAACA
rnacentral:lncRNA from 1 species